UCCGUGGUGUAGCGGUAACGUAUUUGCCUGGAAACUUCGGGGUUCCGGGUUCAAUUCCCGGUCGAGGAA